GCAAUUGCAGGCCCAGCAAGUCCAGCCAACCCAAGGGGAAUUCUGGAGCUAAAAUGGCCUUGAGCUUUAUCCCGCAUUGAGCCCAAAUGACUAGGUCUUUAUAGCAUGCCUCUGUCCGUCAUUAGAUGUGGGCUGCCCCAGGAAAUACCGGGACCGUGAGUGAGAUGGCUUCAAACCAUCUCUGAAGGGCUGAUGGUGAAGGCUGCCUGAGGACAGCACUCCAAGCAGCUCGAGAAACAGGGCUUUGGGCUGGAAGUCCAAGGGGUUCACAGUAAACGUGUUUCAAGUGUGAGAGGGUGUGACCUGGGCUCUCAUAGCACCUGCUGCAGGCGAUAAGCCAAAGAAGCAGGAAUGAGAGAGUGGGAAAUUGAGGCAGGCAAGGAGGAAAAACCAAAGUAAGCGUGAGUUAUCAAGGUUGCUACUCUAGGUAACAGGGCUAGGUUCUGCCAGCACAUCUAAGUAGCAACAGACUUCUUCCCAGAAUUAGGGGCUGGAGCAUUUGUCUGUGGCUCCCAUCCUCGGUUGUUGGAGGGUCGCCAGAAGAUGCAUCAACUCCCGUACACAUCUGUGCUGCCCUUUCAAGAGCUGCGAAGACUCCCACACUUUGGAGAAGGCGGAAUUCAAAGAGAUGCAGGGCGCAGGAUAGAGGCACGGACUCUGUCGGCAGGGAUCCGAGCUCUCCUGGAAAUGCUCACCAAGACCAUUGCUGAAAUCAGAGACUUUAAACAUUAAAUUACCUAUGCAUUGGAAAGGAGUAUUAUCAAGACCCAGUUAAGAUGCAGCCUAAGGAGAAAAGAAAACCAAAGAAAAGAAAGAAAAGAAAACGGGAAGGAAAGGAGAGAAAGAAGGAAUCUUCAAAGUGUAGGUUUUUGUUUAGCGUGGCUGGGGAAGUUGUGUUUCCCAGAUAUGGACGAGAAUCUGAGCUUUGCUAAACUUUCUUAUCAGGUUCAUACCUUGGGUAAUGACGUUUCAGGAUCCACUUGGCCCUAAUGGCCAAAGUCAGACCUUCCACAGUUUAUUAAAACUAGAUUUGUUCACUGUGAUAGAGUCCUCAUAUUUAUUAGGUUUUAAAAUGAUAAGAUCUCAAGUGGACUCUUUUGAUUUGUAUUUUGAAUGUCUCCUCACUAACCUGAUCAGGCUUUAUUUUGUUAUUUGCUUCUGGAAGAGAAGGAAUAGGGUGACAAUAACUGAUAAGCUUUAUAAACAACAAACUUAGAAUAUAGGCUCUAUGCUUGCUGGUAUACGGAGUUAAAAUAGUUUUUUUGUCUUUUUAAAAAUUGUGGUAAAAUAUACAUAACAUAAAACUUGCCAUCCUAACCAUUUUCAAGUGUACUGUUCAGUAGCAUUAAGUAUCUUCACAUUGUUGUGCAACCAAUCUCCAGAACUUUUUUCAUCUUGCAAAGCCAAAACUAUAUCCAUUAAACAACAGUCGCUCCCCAUUCUCCUCUCCCUCCAGCCCCUCCCAACCACCAUUCCUCUUUCUGUCUCAAUGAAUUUGAUGCUCUCGGUACCUCAUAGGAAUGGUGUUUGUCUUUCUGUGAAUGGCUUAUUUCACUCAGCAUGAUGUCUUCCAGGUUCAUCCACGUUGUAGCAAAUGCCAGAAUUUCUGUUCCUUUUAAGGCUGAAUGAUAUUCCACUGUAUGUAUAUUCACAUUUUGUUUAUUCAUUCUUUCACUGAGGGACGCUUGGGUUGCUGCCACCUUUUGGUUAUCGUGAAUAAUGCUGCUGGGAACGUGGGUGUACAAAUAUCUCUUUAAGACCUUGCUUUCAAUUCUUUUGGGUAGAUACCCAGGAGUGGGGUUGCUAGGUCAUGUGAUAACUCUAUUUUUAAUUUUUUGAGGAGCCACCAUAAUGUUUUCCAUAAUGACUGCACCAUUUUACAUUCCCAACAGCAGUGCA
rnacentral:lncRNA from 1 species